UACGUAGGGGGCAAGCGUUGUCCGGAUUUAUUGGGCGUAAAGAGCGUGUAGGCGGCUUUACAGGUCCGUUGUGAAAACUCGAGGCUCAACCUCGAGACGCCGGUGGAAACCGUAAGGCUAGAGUCCGGAAGAGGAGAGUGGAAUUCCUGGUGUAGCGGUGAAAUGCGCAGAUAUCGGGAAGAACACCCGUGGCGAAGGCGGCUCUCUGGGACGGUACUGACGCUGGGACGCGAAAGCGUGGGGAGCGAACAGG
rnacentral:rRNA from 1 species